CAGUGAGCCAAUAUUGUGCCACUACACUCAAGCCUGGGUGACAGCCUAGACUCCAUUUCCAAAACAAACAAACAAACAAACAAACAUAUAUAGAGAGGCUUAGAAUUAUAUAGUCAGCUCCAUGUCCUCCUCACUCCAUUGAUUUGGGUACUUUAAAAUCCAUUGUAUAGUAGCUACACAUUCUUGUAUUGGCACCAGAUUGGCUGGACCCUAGGAAGCAUCCGAGAUGUUUCCAGAAGCAAAGACGCUUACUGCCAGGCAUCCCCCAUCUCCCGGAAUCACCCGGAAGUCUAGAAGCCAUCCGGCCCCACAGCGAUCCCUUAAAAGUGCUGGCUUAGGGGGGACGAAUCUGUGUCUUUCUUGUAACUUCCAAGCUCUAAAUAGUUUGAAACCAACAGCUCUUCGGAAACACUAUCAUUUUCAUCCCGGAAAAGCUAGUUCUCGCGAAAAGACGAGUUUCACGCUGGGCAGCGUAAUUGCGCUAUUGCGCCUGCGCGCCACGGGGCUCCGCCCUUCCGGCCAGAGGGGCUGUCACUCACAUCCACCUCCCGCCCCGCGUCGUGACGUGCACUUCCGUUUUCUCUGGGCAAGCGGUCGGACGGAGGGCCGGCGAGGUGCCGGGUCUGGUUCUCCGAGCUGCGCCUCUAGGCAAGAUUUCGCGUUGCCCAUCCUGGGCUUUCAUCAGUAAUCGAUAGUGGAUCACUCUGCCAAGCGGCAGGAAGAAUUAAGGAAACGACAAGGAGACGCUCGGCUGCCUCCCGCUUUGCUCCUUGCGGCCUCCUCUUCCCUUCGCUCCGGCCCGGUGAAACUGAACUUAUAAUCGUCACUGGAUUGUAAGUACCCGAGGCGAAGAGAGCUCACUGAGCCCUGAUGUUUUGAGUGUCUGUUCCGGGAGAGUUUGUAAAUUGAGAGUAUCUCUGCUGGCCUUUCUGGGCCGAAAACCGUUCCGCGGGAGCCGCCAUUUGCUUUCCUGCUCCCUAGCUAGGUAGCUCUUUCCGCGUUGUCGGGCAGCGGCACCUAGAGGUUGGGACUUGGCAUUGCAUCUGAUUUAAUGAACUUAAGUCUGUGAAUAAGCCUUUGUGUUAACGACUGGUAUUCGGUCACAGCAUAUUUAGAGAAAAGACUU